rnacentral:tRNA from 1 species
GCCUGGGUGGCUCAGUCAGUUAAGUGUCUGACUUCGGCUCAGGUCAUGAUCUCACCUUCCGUGGGUUCAAGCCCCGCGUCAGGCU